rnacentral:tRNA from 1 species
GGGGCUGUGUAGCUCAGUGGUAGAACAUCUGUUUGGCAUGCAGAAGGUCCCAGGUUCAAUUCUUGGCAUCUCCA